ACUGUAACCGCUCCACCUCUCACAGCGGGAGGAUAACUCCGGACAUGUUCUGUGCCUCAGCAACGGCCGCAGGAAUCAACAUGUGCCACACUGACAGCGGUGGCCCUCUGGUGUCCCUGAAGGACGGAGUAUGGUGGCUCAUAGGGGACAAUAUUUGGGGAGAACACUGCAAAGAGCCGAACAGACCAGGAGUUUAUGGAAACGUAACAUACUUCCUGGACUGGAUUUAUCAUCAGAUGAAGAAGCAUCAAGAUGGCUGAUCACGGAACCAACGAUGAACCAUUUCAGAUACAUUUUUGUGCAGAGAAACUUUUUUUAAUCAGUCUUAAUAUGUGUAUCAGAAAUAUAACUUAUUGCCUAUAUAUUGCUGUUCUUUCAUAAUUUAAUGCAGAAUGUUUUUGCUCUAUAUGAAGAAGCUCAAAUUAACAAUGUGUUCUUAUCAUUUCUUAAAUGUAUUUCUUUCUUCUAUUUUGUCUUUAAUUAACAGUUAUUAUGUUUGUUCCAUUUUUAU